UGGGGAAUAUUGCACAAUGGGCGCAAGCCUGAUGCAGCCAUGCCGCGUGUGUGAAGAAGGCCUUCGGGUUGUAAAGCACUUUCAGCGAGGAGGAAGGUGGUGAACUUAAUACGUUCAUCAAUUGACGUUACUCGCAGAAGAAGCACCGGCUAACUCCGUGCCAGCAGCCGCGGUAAUACGGAGGGUGCAAGCGUUAAUCGGAAUUACUGGGCGUAAAGCGCACGCAGGCGGUUUGUUAAGUCAGAUGUGAAAUCCCCGGGCUCAACCUGGGAACUGCAUUUGAAACUGGCAAGCUAGAGUCUCGUAGAGGGGGGUAGAAUUCCAGGUGUAGCGGUGAAAUGCGUAGAGAUCUGGAGGAAUACCGGUGGCGAAGGCGGCCCCCUGGACGAAGACUGACGCUCAGGUGCGAAAAGCGUGGGGAGCAAAACAGGAUUAGAUACCCUGGUAGUCCACGCUGUAAAACGAUGUCGAUUUUGGAGGUUGUGCCCUUGAGGCGUGGNUUCCGGAGCUAACGCGUUAAAUCGACCGCCUGGGGAGUACGGCC
rnacentral:rRNA from 1 species